GUGUCAGCCGCCGCGGUAAUACGGAGGAUGCAAGCGUUAUCCGGAUUUAUUGGGUUUAAAGGGUGCGUAGGCGGAAAAAUAAGUCAGUGGUGAAAACCUGCAGCUUAACUGUAGAAUUGCCAUUGAUACUGUUAUUCUUGAGUAUGGUCAAGGUAGGCGGAAUGUGUAAUGUAGCGGUGAAAUGCUUAGAUAUUACACAGAACACCGAUUGCGAAGGCAGCUUGCUGGGCCAUUACUGACGCUGAUGCACGAAAGCGUGGGGAUCGAACAGGAUUAGAUACCCUGGUAGUCCACGCCGUAAACGAUGAUCACUCGCUGUUAGCGAUACACAGUUAGCGGCUAAGCAAAAGCAUUAAGUGAUCCACCUGGGGAGUACGGCCGCAAGGCUGAAACUCAAAUGAAUUGGCGGGG
rnacentral:rRNA from 1 species